UUGUCCCUCCAUCGGACCAUUCACUACAGCCUCCGUUGCCCCUCCCAUCUUCCUCAAUUCUUCGCGCUCUGCCAGCUCGAUCUACUUCCCACCCCACACCACAUCGACCAGGCCACCACCUCCACCAGCGGUGGAUCGUCGGGAGCAAGAACGGGAUGGACUCUAGAAGCCUUGCGUCACACCAUGCGCCCUCAUCGGCUGGCCAUGGUCGGAGCGUUGGGCGGAUCCGAUUGCUACUUGCUACGGCGGCGCAGGCGCAGGUGGUCGACGGGAGAUCCCUGUGACAGAUGAACUGCGUUCCCAUGCAAUGGAUGGCGGGCCUAGCUCGAGCUCAUCUUUUGAGUGGUGGCCUGAUACUCUACGGCGACAGUCAUUGGUACAUGGUUGUGCGGUUGCUGUUACACAUGAAGCAUCCGUGGAUUCACUGCCAGGAUGGAAGGAACGGGCGGCAGUGGAACAUGAUCUGGGUAUUUGGAACGUCUAUAUGAAGGGGGUUCACCUUUUCUCUCUUGGUUCUUUUCUUCUUUCAUGUUUGCUGCAGUUUCAUGCGUGCAAGCAGCCCGGAGAACGUGGAUCAAGUACAAGUAGUAUUGGUAAUUAUGUGUGCAAGCAACGUUCUUUUCCUAAAUUAGACAUAUAUUGUUCUAUAUAUGUAACUAGCGCUUAUAGAGCAUGAUAGGAUAUAUUUCUUUAUUCUAUAGUUUUUCCAAGAUGAAAUUUGAAGUUUGCGUGUGACCAAA